rnacentral:misc_RNA from 1 species
GGAAGGAUCAUUAACACGAUUUAUCAUUCAAAACAAAUGUGAACAACACAAAACAAAAAGCAGUAGGCACAGGAAUAAGGAUUAGAGGAUCCCUUAUUUCUCCUCUUCUGUGUUUGGUUGUCUUUAAUGACACUGAACGAAAGGAAUCCGAGUUGUUUUGGAGCAAUCUAAAACAAUUUUCAACCUCUAACCUUUUUUAACUUUUUUUAACCACAAUUUACCUGUUGUCUAAACAAAUAGUCAAUAGUUUAAUAUUGACUCUAAAACUUUAAAAGCUUUACAACUUUUAGCAACGGAUUUCUUGGUUCUCGCAACGAUGAAGAACGCAGCGAAAUGCGAUACGUAGUGCGAAUUGCAGAAUUCAGUGAAUCAUCGAAUCUUUGAACGCAAAUUGCGCUUCCUGGUUCUCCAGGGAGCAUGCCUCUUUGAGUAUCGUUACUAACAAUACUCUUCCCACUUUUUGUGUGGGUAAGGAUUUGAGUGUUCAUUCUGUUGUUAAAAUGGAAUGUCUCUCUAAUACGUUAAGUCUUGACGGUGAGCGCUUUAAAAUCUUUUCUUUUAAAGACUUUGGUGCUCUAUCUCAACAAGCUAUGCUUUAUUGCGUUACUUUUGAUUUAGAGAUUACUUUAAGUUCUUUAAAUGCGGAUUUUAUUGAUGUCUUUGCCAACGAGCUUGUUUAAACGAAGGAAUAAUUGAAUCUCGCAAGAGAUUUGAUUAGUUUGAUCUCAAAUGAGGUAAGAGGACCCGCUGAAUUUAAGCAUAUUAAUAAGCGGAGGAAAAGAAACUAACAAGGAUUCCCCUAGUAACGGCGAGUGAAGCGGGAAGAGCUCAACUUGAAAAUCGGAGGUCUUUUAGAUCUUUGAAUUGUAGUCUAUAGAAGCAAUAUCCGCAGUGGCCCAGGUCUAAGUCCUUUGGAACAAGGCGUCAAAGAGGGUGAGAACCCCGUUUUGGGCUUGGAGUCUGCUGUGUACGAUAUGCCUUCAACGAGUCGGGCUGUUUGGGAUUGCAGCCCUAAAUGGGUGGUAAAUUUCAUCUAAAGCUAAAUAUAGGCGAGAGACCGAUAGCGAACAAGUACCGUGAGGGAAAGGUGAAAAGAACUUUGAAAAGAGAGUUAAAAAGUGCAUGAAAUUGCUAAAAGGGAAGCGAUGGAAACCAACACUGUGCUUGGUAACGUUUGCAGAUGUUCAUGUAGUUUCUGUGUGCGCUGAGGUUAAACCUGUGCAUGUAGUUUCUCAUGUGUGCAUCUGUGUCCCGUUAUCAGGUUUAACAAGUCAAAAUCAAUUCUUUUUAAUGCCAGUAGAACGCUUAGAGGGAGGUACCAGGAAUCCAUGUACUUGGUGAACUGGGUUAUAUCCUUUAGGUAUCACUGGCGAGAGGAUUGAGGACUGCCAUAGCAUGCUCUUCGGGGCAGUGCUUCUGGUUCCCUGUCUCGCUUAGGUGGGAAGGAUAACAAAGUUAUGCUUUCUUCCCUAAGUGUGCAUUGGUUCUAGGAGUAUCUAAUGCUUUUUGGUGAUUUUGACGCAAUGGUUUUUCACCGACCCGUCUUGAAACACGGACCAAGGAGUCUAACGUAUAUGCGAGUAUUUGGGUGUGUCAAACCCUGAUGCGCAAUGAAAGUGAAGGCCUUCGGGCUGAGGUGGGAGUCCUUUAACCUUUGGGUGGGGAUGCACCAUCGACCGAUCGUCCACUUGUGGAAGAUUUGAGUAAGAGCAUAUCUGUUGGGACCCGAAAGAUGGUGAUCUAUGCCUGGACAGGGCGAAGCCAGGGGAAACUCUGGUGGAGGCUCGUAGCGAUACUGACGUGCAAAUCGUUCGUCUGAUCUGGGUAUAGGGGCGAAAGACUAAUCGAACCAUCUAGUAGCUGGUUCCCUC